rnacentral:rRNA from 1 species
GGUUAAGCGACUAAGCGUACACGGUGGAUGCCUAGGCAGUCAGAGGCGAUGAAGGGCGUGCUAAUCUGCGAUAAGCGUCGGUAAGCUGAUAUGAAGCGUUAUACCCGACGAUACCCGAAUGGGGAAACCCAGUGUGAUACGUCACACUAUCAUUACAUGAAUACAUAGUGUAAUGAGGCGAACCGGGGGAACUGAAACAUCUAAGUACCCCGAGGAAAAGAAAUCAACCGAGAUUCCCCCAGUAGCGGCGAGCGAACGGGGAACAGCCCAGAACCUGAAUCAGUUUGUGUGUUAGUGGAAGCGUCUGGAAAGUCGCACAGUAAAGGGUGAUAGUCCCGUACACAAAAGCACACUAAUUGUGAGUUCGAUGAGUAGGGCGGGACACGUGACAUCCUGUCUGAAUAUGGGGGGACCAUCCUCCAAGGCUAAAUACUCCUGACUGACCGAUAGUGAACCAGUACCGUGAGGGAAAGGCGAAAAGAACCCCGGCGAGGGGAGUGAAAUAGAACCUGAAACCGUGUACGUACAAGCAGUGGGAGCCUUGAUUUAUCAGGGUGACUGCGUACCUUUUGUAUAAUGGGUCAGCGACUUAUAUUUUGUAGCAAGGUUAACCGUAUAGGGGAGCCGUAGGGAAACCGAGUCUUAACUGGGCGUCAAGUUGCAAGGUAUAGACCCGAAACCCGGUGAUCUAGCCAUGGGCAGGUUGAAGGUUGGGUAACACUAACUGGAGGACCGAACCGACUAAUGUUGAAAAAUUAGCGGAUGACUUGUGGCUGGGGGUGAAAGGCCAAUCAAACCGGGAGAUAGCUGGUUCUCCCCGAAAGCUAUUUAGGUAGCGCCUCGUGAAUUUAUCUUCGGGGGUAGAGCACUGUUUCGGCUAGGGGGCCACCCCGGCUUACCAACCCGAUGCAAACUGCGAAUACCGAAGAAUAUUAUCACGGGAGACACACGGCGGGUGCUAACGUCCGUCGUGAAGAGGGAAACAACCCAGACCGCCAGCUAAGGUCCCAAAGUCAUGGUUAAGUGGGAAACGAUGUGGGAAGGCAUAGACAGCCAGGAUGUUGGCUUAGAAGCAGCCAUCAUUUAAAGAAAGCGUAAUAGCUCACUGGUCGAGUCGGCCUGCGCGGAAGAUGUAACGGGGCUAAACCAUGCACCGAAGCUGCGGCAGCGACGCUUAUGCGUUGUUGGGUAGGGGAGCGUUCUGUAAGCCUGCGAAGGUGGACUGUGAGGUCUGCUGGAGGUAUCAGAAGUGCGAAUGCUGACAUAAGUAACGAUAAUGCGGGUGAAAAACCCGCACGCCGGAAGACCAAGGGUUCCUGUCCAACGUUAAUCGGGGCAGGGUGAGUCGACCCCUAAGGCGAGGCUGAAAAGCGUAGUCGAUGGGAAACAGGUUAAUAUUCCUGUACUUGGUGUUACUGCGAAGGGGGGACGGAGAAGGCUAGGCUGGCCAGGCGACGGUUGUCCUGGUUUAAGCGUGUAGGUGUGUCAACCCGGUAAAUCCGGUUGGCUUUAACACUGAGGCGUGAUGACGAACCACUACGGUGGUGAAGUAGCUGAUGCCCUGCUUCCAGGAAAAGCCUCUAAGCUCCAGGUAACACGAAAUCGUACCCCAAACCGACACAGGUGGUCAGGUAGAGAAUACUCAGGCGCUUGAGAGAACUCGGGUGAAGGAACUAGGCAAAAUGGUGCCGUAACUUCGGGAGAAGGCACGCUGGCAUGUAGGUGACGGGACUUGCUCCCUGAGCUGAAGCCAGUCGCAGAUACCAGCUGGCUGCAACUGUUUAAUAAAAACACAGCACUGUGCAAACACGAAAGUGGACGUAUACGGUGUGACGCCUGCCCGGUGCCGGAAGGUUAAUUGAUGGGGUUAGCGGCAACGCGAAGCUCUUGAUCGAAGCCCCGGUAAACGGCGGCCGUAACUAUAACGGUCCUAAGGUAGCGAAAUUCCUUGUCGGGUAAGUUCCGACCUGCACGAAUGGCGUAAUGAUGGCCAGGCUGUCUCCACCCGAGACUCAGUGAAAUUGAACUCGCUGUGAAGAUGCAGUGUACCCGCGGCAAGACGGAAAGACCCCGUGAACCUUUACUAUAGCUUGACACUGAACAUUGAGCCUUGAUGUGUAGGAUAGGUGGGAGGCUUUGAAGCGUGGACGCCAGUCUGCGUGGAGCCAUCCUUGAAAUACCACCCUUUAAUGUUUGAUGUUCUAACUCGG